rnacentral:lncRNA from 1 species
CCUCAGGGGGACAUUUGGCAAUGCCUGGAGAUACUUUGUUUGUCACAAUGGGGUGUGUGUAUGACUGGAUUCAGAUGGUUAGAGGCCAGGGAUGCAUCUCAACAGCCCACAGUGUAUAUGACAACCAUCUACAAGGAAUUAUCCAGGUUCACAUGCCAAUUGCUCCAAGGUGGAGAAACUCUGCCAUAGAGUUUUGGUUAUCCUUGGCCAACCACAGUUUAGAGGCAGAUGACAUCUUCCUUCUGAUGCAUCAUCAGAAGGUCCAUAGUUGCCUAACACUGUGUCACAAUGCCUACAUCAUUCCUCUCACUCCAGCUCAUCACAUAGGCAUUUUGUCAUCUCACAUCAUCACAAGAAGAAGGGAAGGAAAGAGAGCCACAGGAAAGAAACAGAAAGUUACAUGGAACAGCAAAAAAUCAUUGUUCAGACAUGACCGGAUUAUAAUAAGAGCCGCAAGACUUCUCACUGGACACCAACCCUCUGGAACGAAAAAGGACUAUAUCUCUGUACUGAAGCAAUAUCCAGCUCAAUUCUUCAUUUAAUAUUUUAGAAGUCAGUUUCAAAGUAGGUCAAAGAAGGAAAACCAAUUCUGGCUUCUUCCUUAGCUCACAUCUUUAAUUUUCAUGGAACUGAUACUAUGCGAAUCUAUCUAUUCCCAGAAAGAUGAGAAGGAACUUACAACCUGCCAAUCUCAGUAAGUUCUUUUACAAUAUUAAGCGUGUGAAACAACUUUCACCACUUUCCCCUUUUGUAGGAAAAGAAAUUCUGAAAUCUAAACAUGGCACAUGAAAAACUAGUCUGCCCAUUCGCCUGGUGAAUUAAAACCAACGCAGAUUUCACACCAGCCACUUUAUAGAAUUAAUACGUUUCAGUAUGUAACUGUUUCCAAAGGACUGAUUGUCAGUGAAAAGGGGGGCUUUACUUAGGGUAAAUGUCAACUCUUCCAAGUUCUUACAUUAGACCAAAGAUAUGAGCAGGUACUUAGAUGAAUUUUUCUCAACCCCAAGAAAUUUUUUUCAGCCCUGAGGUGAUAACUCUCUGCCACCAAAACCCUGUUCAAGAAUAUAAAAUUUCCACAAAAGGAAGGGUGUACAAAAGUCUCUGAAACAAGACAUGUUCUUCUGGAGGAAAAAUACUCAUAUUUUUUAAUU